UGCCCAUUCGUCUAAUGGUAGGACAACAGUUUCUGGCACUGUUAAUUGAGGUUCGACUCCUUGAUGGGCAGCCA
rnacentral:tRNA from 1 species